rnacentral:rRNA from 1 species
GAACGCUGGCGGCGUGCUUAACACAUGCAAGUCGAACGCGAAAGGGACUUCGGUCCUGAGUUAAAGUGGCGCACGGGUGAGUAACGCGUGGAUAAUCUGCCCUUAUGAUCGGGAUAACAGUUGGAAACGGCUGCUAAUACCGGAUACGCUCAAAAUGAACUUUUUGAGGAAAGAUGGCCUCUGCUUGCAUGCUAUCACGUAAGGAUGAGUCCGCGUCCCAUUAGCUUGUUGGCGGGUAACGGCCCACCAAGGCAACGAUGGGUAGCCGAUUUGAGAGGAUGAUCGGCCACACUGGAACUGAAACACGGUCCAGACUCCUACGGGAGGCAGCAGUGGGGAAUAUUGCGCAAUGGGCGAAAGCCUGACGCAGCGACGCCGCGUGAGGGAUGAAAAGGUUUUCGGAUCGUAAACCUCUGUCAGAAGGGAAGAAACUACGUUGUGCUAAUCAGCAGCGUACUGACGGUACCUUCAAAGGAAGCACCGGCUAACUCCGUGCCAGCAGCAGC